rnacentral:lncRNA from 1 species
GAGGUAAGAUUUGAAUGCACCUCACGGUCACUACAGUGGUGGGGGUUUUCGUGGACUGCCUAUGAGAGGGGCACGGUAACUCAAUUAUAUACUUACCUCCGGGGGGAGAUGUUGGGUGAAGUAUCUCCUGAGGUAUGAUUUGAGUGCACCUCACGUUCGGGCCACCACGUGAGAGUGAGACUCAGCCAACGCCAAGGAACGGUUGUGUGUCAGAUGUGAAAACAUGUUUAUGGGUAUGGGUCAUUGAAUAGGCUUGGCGGUCUUAGUGGGAUACCUUGACGAAGGUACCCGCGAGAAUGAUUCUGGCAGGGGCCAAGUUUAAGAAAUUCAUAAGCCGGGAAAUUUUGAUGAAAAGAAAUUAUUUGGUAUAGAUUGAAACGAAUUUUGUGUUAUGAACAUUAUUGAGAUAUAAUGUUUUUAUAUUGUCUCCAUCUACUCGGCUUUAGAUGCUUUUGAUGAUAAUUGUUUACUCACUGGGAUUAUUUAAUCUCACCCCUCUUCCUAUCCAUUUUUCAGGCUCAAGACAGUUUGUUGAUAGUUGAUUAAGACGAGAAUUAAUCUCGGAGUUGCAUCAUAGGAAGUAAGGGUUCGUAGCUCUACACCUUCUUGGUUAGUUGAGGGCCCACGUGUCACUGUAAACGAAAUUUCAUACUUUA